CCUACGGGUGGCAGCAGUGAGGAAUAUUGGUCAAUGGGCGCGAGCCUGAACCAGCCAAGUAGCGUGAAGGAUGACUGCCCUACGGGUUGUAAACUUCUUUUAUAAAGGAAUAAAGUGAGGCACGUGUGCCUUUUUGUAUGUACUUUCUGAAUAAGGAUCGGCUAACUCCGUGCCAGCAGCCGCGGUAAUACGGAGGCUCCGAGCGUUAUCCGGAUUUAUUGGGUUUAAAGGGAGCGUAGAUGGGUUGUUAAGUCAGUUGUAAAAGUUUGCGGCUCAACCGUAAAAUUGCAAUUGAUACUGGCAGUCGUGAGUACAGUUGAGGUAGGCGGAAUUCGUGGUGUAGCGGUGAAAUGCUUAGAUAUCACGAAGAACUCCGAUUGCGAAGGCAGCUUACUAAACUGCCACUGACAUUGAUGCUCGAAAGUGUGGGUAUCAAACAGGAUUAGAUACCCGAGUAGUC
rnacentral:rRNA from 1 species